rnacentral:lncRNA from 1 species
AGACGUUUCAGGGCUUUGCUGCUUUUCUGAAUCUGAGAGAUCUCGCCUCCAUCGUUCCAGCAUCUGAAAUCCAAACGAUUGUGAAUACAAUGGCCCCAGCUGCACUGGCUGAUUUGUUAUCCAGUUCUGACUUUCUCAAUGACAACAACUUCCUGACCGUUCUUCUGAAGAACUAUAAAAGGAGAGGGGCCUUCAUUGACCUGUUUAACCAGAGGAGCAUUAUGGACACCCUCCCAAAUGACACCAGGACAGCCAUUCUGGCUGGUGUGUGGCCUGCGGUGUUGAGGAGUGACAAUGAGACAGUGGUGGACACGUGGCUCAGCGCACGUCUGUCGCAAUAUUUCAGUUUUAUCCAAGGCAACAUACUGAACUUCAGUGGGACCCGGAAUGCCAGCUGCACAGCGUUCCGCACGAUCGUGGGCAAACUGAGCAAUAACAUUACAGCUUUCAAGGUCAGCCAGCAAGAGAUCUAUAAUUUCACCAAAGACUAUCUCACCGCAACAAGUGCUAGACCCAGAUGUUACAAUGCCAGUGACCCACGCACAGCAAAUUGGUUUGCUGCUUACCUUGGGCGUUCCAUCCGCUACAGCAGUGCGGACGAUGUAAGAUCAUUCAUCAACAACAACGCAACACUUCUCCAGGAUCUAGCCAUAAACCCAGACAACCUGAGACUCAUCAACCACACAAGAAUCCAUAAGGACGUAGCAGAGCUGUAUGCCACAGCGCUGUUUGCCAAGAAUUCAAACUUCAGUCUU